rnacentral:lncRNA from 1 species
UUCGAUAUUGAGAUGCCUGCCGGCAUCAGAAGGUCGAGCGCUCAACACUGGAUGCUUCAUGAGGUACUCCAACAAUGAUUUCCUUAACAAGGAAGUGGAAAAUGAUAGUUCAGGAGGUAAAUAAAUAAAUUGCAGCUCUUAACACUUUUAGUGUACUAAAAAAAAUUAUGCUAGGUUGCAGCUUCCUACAUUGAGAAAAAUUAACAUAAACUUAGUGGUAAAUCUUGAUUGUGAGUCCAAUUCGUUGUCUUGUGCAGGUAAUGUAUUGGUGAUAGUGGUUGCAGUAGUCAGUUCGGUGAUCGUCACGGUGGUUGUAGUGACUAUCGGGGCAUAUAUCUGCAAACAGAGAUACAUUCAAAAGAAAAGAAGAGGUAGGUAUUUGACUCAUAGCUUAUCUCUAUUUAUUCAUGAUAUAACUGCAUAUAUACUUAUAUCAUAGUUAUAAAUUAUAUUUUAUUUUUCUAAGAGCUACACAUUGUGUUGCAAACAAAUUGUGGAAUCAUUAGCAGUUAUAACACAUCUGCAUUAAGAAUGGUGACCGAUCCAAAUGGUCAUUCUGAUUUACAGGAUCAAAUGACGCAGAAAAGUUAGCCAAGACUCUUCAACAUAAAAGCUUGAAUUUCAAGUACUCUACAUUGGAAAAAGCUACAGGAUCUUUUAACGACGAUAACAAGUUAGGGCACGGAGGAUUUGGAACAGUUUAUAAAGUAUUUCUGUUAUCUGAAGACCUAUAAGUAUAACACCACCAUUUUACAUAUCAAGCGAUUUGUAACAAUUUAGCUGUUGCAGGGAGUUUUACCUGAUGGAAGACAGAUUGCUAUCAAGAGGUUAUAUUUCAACAACAGACAUAGAGCAGCUGAUUUCUACAAUGAAGUCAACAUAAUUAGUGGUGUGGAACACAAGAAUCUAGUUAGACUAUUAGGAUGCAGUUGUUCGGGACCCGAAAGCUUGCUUGUAUAUGAAUAUCUUCCCAACAGAAGUCUCGAUCGCUUCAUUUUUGGUAACGUCUGAAUUCAUGCUGUAAUUUCGACGAUUAAUUCAUGCUUGUUAACGCAUCACUUCAACCAUUAUGUGAUUGUAAUCAAUUUAACAUAAUCUGAACUAAAUAUAAUUGUUUCUUAUACAUGACAGAUAAAAACAAGGGCAAAGAACUAAACUGGGAAAAGAGAUAUGAAAUUAUUAUUGGGACAGCUGAAGGAUUAGUUUACCUGCAUGAGAACUCCAAUGUCCGGAUAAUUCAUAGAGAUAUAAAAGCCAGCAACAUCCUAUUGGAUGCAAAG